rnacentral:rRNA from 1 species
CCCUUAGACGUUCUGGGCCGCACGCGCGCUACACUGAACAGUUCAACAAGUCUUAACCUUGGCCGAUAGGUCUGGGUAAUCUUUGAACGCUGUUCGUGAUUGGGAUAGACCUUUGCAAUUAUGGGUCUUCAACGAGGAAUUCCUAGUAAACGCAAGUCAUCAGCUUGCAUUGAUUACGUCCCUGCCCUUUGUACACACCGCCCGUCGCACCUACCGAUUGAAUGGUCCGGUGAAAUCUCGGGACGGCGGCUCGGUCGCUUGCGUCCGACUGCUGAAACUUGAUUAAACCAUAUCAUUUAGAGGAAGGUGAAGUCGUAACA